UCGUUCUGUAUUGAACCGGGGCGGCGGCGGCAGCGGCAGCGGAUCGACUGCGGGGUCGCGAUUGCGAGACAGCCCUUGCCCCUCCCCCGGGGCAGGGAGCCGGGGGACGAAUGACUCUUCAGAACUGGUCAUCAAUUUCCAAUCGUUUGACCUGCAGUGAGAGAUUUAUUGGAAGUAAAACGCACAACUGGAAGCAAACCACGACUGAAGAUGAGGGAACGGCAACAAGUGAACCAGCCUGAGGACUGAGAGCACCAACUGAAGAAAACACUACUGACCCAGAGUUUCCAUUCAUUCAGUCAGGAGAAAGUUUGAAUCUUAAGGAAGUAGUGGCACUGUUGUACGUUCUUUGCAAUUACAUGCACACACUGGGAUCAGGACAAGUCGUAUGAAAGGUUGUGUGAAGAACCAGGAGAUGGAAUCUACUGCAGACCUGUUGUUCUGGUGGGAAACUGGAGCAGAUCCUGGUCACCUCUAAGGCAGGAGCUGAUGAGUUUCAUCACCAGCCUCCUCUUUCAAACAAGAAGACGACAGCCAACCACCAUCAGUCAGAAUCAGGAUGGACACAGAGCGUGACUGAGCUCGCGGAGAAGGGAAACCGAGCGGGCGCUUCAAAACUCCUCCUGGAUCUGGCGAUGGAGAAGGGCUGCGGUGCCUGGAGGGUGAUGUGGGAAUCCUUUGUGAAACUACGUCACCAUUUACCAAAGCUGAGCAAAAUAUUGAAUGAAAUACAGGAACGCGGUGACAGCCAGUUCGCCUACAUGGACGUUGAAUGGGGCUUAUCUGAAGUGCCCACUCAACUGAAAGGUAAGCGAUGGAACGGAAAACACAAAACCUUAAUUUCACUCUGAGAAUGCAUAUGGCUGUUUCUCUCUGAAUCCAGUCGUCGGCUUCCGUCGUUGGGUUUGAUUGACCGGUAGCGAUUUGGACUUUUCACAAUCAUUUGCCACCCGGAAGUUUGCAAGCUAUUGAGCAGACUCCUCUAAGACACAUUCAGUCAUUCUCCGCAGUGAAUGAUGCAGUUCGCAAGCUUGGUAAUUCUAUGUUUGGCAGCACCAACAAGGAGUCCCGAGAAUUGUCCGAUCUUACAAAACAUGAAGGCAAAGGGAUCUAUUUGGAUCUACGAAUCACAACCCAGGAAGUUUCACUUCAGGAAGUCCUCCAAGAGCAGGAGGCUGAUAUCCAGGGAUUUCUCAGCAAUGCAGUGACCAUUACAACGAUUGCGUGUCAGGUCCUCAGAGUACAGAAGGCCGUGGAGAUGUUAUGGAGGCUUAAGGCCAAUACUGGCUCAGACUGGCUGGGGAAAGAAUAAUUAUUCUGUAUGGUUCGGGCUUGACACUGAGAGAUUCAAUCUAAAGAAAAUGACAGUGGAGCUGGAACAGUAUGAGGAAAAUAAAAAUAACUAAAUGAUUUAGAAUCAGAGCUAGAGGCUGAGGGUGAAGGAGUAAGGAAUCUCGGAGAGAAGCCAUUUUUUUCACUGCUCAGGGAAAGGAGGCUGGACUGCGCAGGCACGUGACAUCAGCCAGUAGAGCACCAAAAGCUUUAAAAAGGCGACCACCAUAUCCAGCGGACAGCGGAGUGAGAGGGAGCAGAAUGGGACGGCUUUGGCUCAACAGACUUCGGCACGAACAGGCAGAGGCGAGGGCAGGUUCUGGUAAGUUUUGUUUUGUUCAUUCAGAGUAGAGAGAAUGCCAGGCAGGAUGUUGGAAUGCUCCUGUUGCAGGAUGUGGGAAGUCAGGCCUGCAAGAAGUGCACCCAGCUGCAGCUCCUAAUAAACCAUGUUAAGGAACUAGAGCAGGAGCUGGAUGACCUCUGGAUCAUUCAGAAGAAUGAAGAGUUUACAGAUAGUAGUUUCAGGGAGGCAGCUACACUAAAGGAGCAGCACACAGGCAAUUGGGUUACCGUCAGGUGAGGGAAGGGCAAAGGGCAGGCAGAGCAGGACUCCCCUGUGGCCAUUCCCUCCAACAACAAGUAUACCAAUUUGGAUACUUUUGGGGGGAAUGACAUACCUGGGACAAGCUGCGGCAGCCGGAUCUCUGGCACUGAGUCUGGUUCUGCAGUGCAGAAGGGAGGAGGGAAGAAGAGGAGAGCGGUAGUGAUAGGGCACUCUAUAGUUAGAGAUAGAGACAGGAGGUUGUGUGGUUGUGAUGGAGACUCCCGGAUGGUUUGUUGCCUCCUGGGUGCCAGGGUCAGGGAUGUCUCUGAUCACAUGCACAGCAUUCUGAAGUGGGAGGGUGAGCAGCCAGAUGUCAUGGUACACAUCGGUACCAAUGACGUAGGAAGAAAGAGCAAGGAGGUCAUGAAGAGUGAAUAUAGAGAGCUUGGUAGGAGGUUAAAAAGCAGGACCUCGAGUGUGGUAAUCUCAGGAUUGCUACCUGUGCCAUGAGCCAGUGAGGGUAAGAAUAGGAUGCUCUGGAGGAUGAACACGUGGCUGAGGAACUGGUGCAGGGGGCAGGGUUUCAGAUUUCAGGAUCAUUGGGACUUCUGGGGCAGGUGGGACCUGUACAAGAGAGACAGGUUACACCUGAACUACAGGGGGACCAAUAUCCUUGCAGGGAGGUUUGUUAGUGCUAUUGGAGAUGAUUUAAACUAGAUUUGCAGGGGGAUGGGAACCAGAGUGCCAGAGCAGAUAGUGGAGCAGAGGUGAAAAUAAACGAUGUUAAAGUUUCAUGCAAAGUCUCAAAUAGAAGGGUUGUGUGUGGUGGUAAUAAUCUUCUGAGGUGUGUCUAUUUCAAUGCGAGGAGUAUUGUGGGAAAGGCUGACGAGCUGAGGGCAUGGAUUGACACAUGGAAUUAUGACAUUAUAGCCAUUAGUGAAACUGGCAGGACUGGCAGCUCAAAGUUCCAGGGUUCCGAUGUUUCAGACAUGAUAGUGGCAGAGGGAUGAAGGGUGGGGGGUGUGGCUUUGCUAGUCAGAGAAAAUAUUACAGCAGUGCUCAGGCAGGACAGAUUAGAGGGCCUUCCCAAUUCCUGUCCGGGUUCCUGAUGGAGCUUUUGGAGAGAGGGGAUUCUGCCCGGUGUGUGGCGUACACAUUCCCACACCUCAUCAUCCAAGAAUUUGUAGCGGCACUCGCAGGAUUCCUGAUUUCACAUACCAGUGAUAAACAGAAAUUCCCCACUAAAGCUCGGAACACAACAGAUGGGCAAUUUGAGGUAUAUCUCCAUUUUGUUGCUGGUCUCUCCUCCCCAGUGACAGCUCGGGGCCUGGAGGAGUUUCUGGGUCCAUUUCCUCAUCAAACAACCUGCCGGGUGAUUGACUGGGUGAAGGAGGAGGUUAAAUGCCAGAGUGGAAACACAGGGAGUGGAGAUGAUACAAGGAGCCUCCUGAACACAUUACACUGCGUGUUUGAGUCUCAGAAUCGUGGACUGGCCAAGGCCACACUGGGAUCUGUGAAAACACUUUCAUUCCGUUGAUUGACACUGACCCCAAUUGACUGCGCAGUCCUGUCUCAUGUCAUUGGACUCUGUGAUACAAUAAAACACCUUGACCUGUGGAACUGCCGCACUCAGUAUGAAGGAAUCCAGUGGCUGGGACCCAGGCUGCACAAGUGCCAGGAGUUGAGACACAGGACAAAUAACCUGGGAGAUUCAAGUGUGAAACUGGUGUCUGCGGCUCCAAGGAACCCGGAGUGUAAAAUACAAACUCUGUGGCUGAACGAUGUCGGUCUCACAGAUUCUGGCGUUGAGGAUCUUGUCCCCGCUGUCAGUAUACUGACGGAGCUAGGCGUGACAGUAAACUUGCUCACAAACAGAUCUGUCCCCGCUCUCCAGCACCUCAUUCUGCCCCUCCCAAGUCUGCAGCAGAUCCGGCUAAGGGACAAUGAAUUCUUUUGGACCGGUGAGAAGGAACUUAAGUCUCUGCAGGAACCCAGACCUGGACUGGCAGUGCACCUGUGAACAUCUGAACGUGUGAAUAUCCCCACUCACAGGAUGGGUCGUUUUAACGAUUAUCGCCCCUUCCAUUCAACGGCCGCGCUCCAGGUUUAAUUCCGAACAGUUUUCAUGGGAUGCCGGCUGCAGCUGAGCACCCUCUAACGCCAGUUAUGGUUCGGCAGAUAUGUAAUUCCACCACGUAAUUACACAGACAGGAAGAGUCCGUGGUCUGGCUCAGUCUGGGACACCGGUGUCCUGAGGCGAGACUAUUCCGACAGAGAAUCUUCUGGCUCACUUUGCUGAGGACAGUGCGUUCUGCAGUCUGAUCGAUAUAGUGGUGUAAAAUUGCCAAAUUCUUUGGUAGUGACCCUGGAUCUGCAGCGAUACUGGACACAGCCCUGAAGUGUGAUUUUAUAAUCAUCGGUUUCCCUGAUGCAGAGUGAAGGUGAGAAACGGGACUGAUUAUUCAAAGUGUCUCCAGUUGUCGACAUUCAGUGAAUUGUGUGUGAUUGUGAGUGAAUCGGAAGUUACCA